rnacentral:rRNA from 1 species
AUACGAAGGGGGCUAGCGUUGUUCGGAAUUACUGGGCGUAAAGCGCGCGUAGGCGGAUUGGUCAGUUAGGGGUGAAAUCCCAGGGCUUAACCCUGGAACUGCCUCUAAUACUGCCAGUCUUGAGUUCGGGAGAGGUGAGUGGAAUUCCUAGUGUAGAGGUGAAAUUCGUAGAUAUUAGGAAGAACACCAGUGGCGAAGGCGGCUUACUGGCCCGAUACUGACGCUGAGGCGCGAAAGCGUGGGGAGCAAACAGGAUUAGAAACCCUAGUAGUCC